CUACCAUGCAGUCCAACGUGAAAGGGGAGCAAUCCCCCGGUAGGGUGGCAAACGGGUGAGUAAUACAUGGGUGAUCUACCUUAGGGAUGGGGAUAUCCUUCCGAAAGGAGGGGCAAUACCGAAUAUUGUCCGGGACCGUGAAGGGUUCCGGGGAAAGGGAGGCCUCUGAUACAAGCUUUCGCCUUAAGAUGAGCCCAUGGCCCAUCAGCUAGUUGGUAGGGUAAAGGCCUACCAAGGCUACGACGGGUCGCUGGUCUGAGAGGACGACCAGCCACACUGGCACUGAGAUACGGGCCAGACUCCUACGGGAGGCAGCAGUGAGGAAUAUUGCGCAAUGGGGGAAACCCUGACGCAGCAACGCCGCGUGUGGGAAGAAGGCCUUCGGGUCGUAAACCACUUUUACUCGGGACGAAAAAGGGAUGUCAAAUAAACAUCCCCGAUGACGGUACCGUGAGAAUAAGCCACGGCUAACUCUGUGCCAGCAGCCGCGGUAAGACAGAGGUGGCAAGCGUUGUUCGGAAUUACUGGGCGUAAAGAGUCUGUAGGUGGUUUGUCAAGUCUUUGGUGAAAGGCCGUAGCUUAACUAUGGGAAUGCCAAAGAGACUGGCAGGCUGGAGGCUGGGAGAGGGAAGCGGAAUUCCAGGUGUAGCGGUGAAAUGCGUAGAGAUCUGGAGGAACAUCAGUGGCGAAGGCGGCCACCUGGCCCAAUACUGACGCUGAGGCACGAAAGCGUGGGGAGCAAACAGGAUUAGAUACCCUGGUAGUCCACGCCCUAAACGAUGAAUACUAGAUGUUUGGUGCCUAGCGUACUGAGUGUCGUAGCUAACGCGAUAAGUAUUCCGCCUGGGAAGUACGGCCGCAAGGUUAAAACUCAAAGGAAUUGACGGGGGCCGGCACAAGC
rnacentral:rRNA from 1 species